GACGAACGCUGGCGGCGUGCUUAACACAUGCAAGUCGAACGGAAAGGCCCCGCUUUUGUGGGGUGCUCGAGUGGCGAACGGGUGAGUAACACGUGAGUAACCUGCCCUUGACUUUGGGAUAACUUCAGGAAACUGGGGCUAAUACCGGAUAGGAGCUCCUGCUGCAUGGUGGGGGUUGGAAAGUUUCGGCGGUUGGGGAUGGACUCGCGGCUUAUCAGCUUGUUGGUGGGGUAGUGGCUUACCAAGGCUUUGACGGGUAGCCGGCCUGAGAGGGUGACCGGCCAGGGGGGGGGGGUGGCCCGCGGCCGGACCUGCAGGGAGGGGGAGUUGGGGAGUAGGAGAGCGGCGGCGCACUCCUGUGGCGGGUACGCGGGUGGGUGCGGGAGGGCCUGGGGGUUUCACGCCGCUUCCCGCGGCGAGGAGGGGUGAGUGGCGUAAAGGGGUACAGAAGCACCAGAUCACUCCGCGCCAGCCGCGGCGGUAAUAAUCGGACAACCCCGCGUCUGAAC
rnacentral:rRNA from 1 species